GGAUGCGAUCGCUGACGGCGGCCCGGAGUCCGGAUCCGGACAGUCUGAGCAGGGUUGUGUCGGGUCCGCUCAGUGCGGACUGCACCAUC
rnacentral:tRNA from 1 species